rnacentral:rRNA from 1 species
CCUACGGGUGGCUGCAGUGAGGAAUCUUCCACAAUGGGCGAAAGCCUGAUGGAGCAAUGCCGCGUGCAGGAUGACGGCCUUCGGGUUGUAAACUGCUUUUAUAUGGGAAGAUUAUGACGGUACCAUAUGAAUAAGGACCGGCUAACUACGUGCCAGCAGCCGCGGUAAUACGUAGGGUCCGAGCGUUAUCCGGAAUCACUGGGCGUAAAGCGUUUGUAGGCGGAAAUUUAAGUGAGAUGCGAAAUCUUGUGGCUCAACCAUAUAGACUGUAUCUC